rnacentral:rRNA from 1 species
GGGCGAGGUGAAGCGGCAAAAGCUCCACUUUGAAAGCGUUUCGACGCGUUGUAGUGCGGUUCAGUCUUUGAGUGACGGAUGACUAAGUCCCCUGGAACGGGGUGCCAUAGAGGGUGAGAGCCCCGUGAGUUGUCUUUUUAGCUCUUUAAGUCUUUACCAAAGAGUCGAGUUGUUUGGGAAUGCAGCUCUAAGUGGGUGGUAAAUUCCAUCUAAGGCUAAAUACCGGCGAGAGACCGAUAGCGAACAAGUACAGUGAUGGAAAGAUGAAAAGCACUUUGAAAAGAGAGUGAAACAGUACGUGAAAUUGUUGAAAGGGAAGGGUAUUUGGCCCGACAUGGGGUUCUGUGCACCGUUGCCCUCUUGUAGGCGGCGCUCUGCUGGGAGCCUGGGSCCAGCAUCAGUUUUCCGGCGAGGAUAAG